AUACGGAGGGUCCGAGCGUUAUCCGGAAUUAUUGGGUUUAAAGGGUCCGUAGGCGGGCCAUUAAGUCAGGGGUGAAAGUCUGCGGCUCAACCGUAGAAUUGCCUUUGAUACUGAUGGUCUUGAGUUAUAGUGAAGUUGGCGGAAUAUGUAGUGUAGCGGUGAAAUGCAUAGAUAUUACAUAGAACACCGAUUGCGAAGGCAGCUGACUAACUAUAUACUGACGCUGAGGGACGAAAGCGUGGGGAGCGAACAGGAUUAGAUACCCUAGUAGUCC
rnacentral:rRNA from 1 species